CCUACGGGUGGCAGCAGUGGGGAAUAUUGGGCAAUGGACGCAAGUCUGACCCAGCAACGCCGCGUGAAGGAAGAAGGCUUUCGGGUUGUAAACUUCUUUUAAGGGGGAAGAGCAGAAGACGGUACCCCUUGGAUAAGCCACGGCUAACUACGUGCCAUCAGCCGCGGUAAUACGUAGGUGGCAAGCGUUGUCCGGAUUUAGUGGGUGUAAAGGGCGUGCAGCCGGAGAGACAAGUCAGAUGUGAAAUCCACGGGCUCAAACCGUGAACGGCAUUUGAAACUGUUUCUCUUGAGUGUCGGAGAGGUAAGCGGAAUGCGUGGUGUAGCGGUGAAAUGCGUAGAUAUAAGGAAGAACACCAGUGGCGAAGGCGGCUUACCGGCAGAUAACUGACGGUGAGGCGCGAAAGCGUGGGUAGCAAACAGGAUUAGAUACCCCAGUAGUC
rnacentral:rRNA from 1 species